GAUGAACGCUGGCGGCGUGCCUAAUACAUGCAAGUCGAGCGAACAGACGAGGAGCUUGCUCCUCUGACGUUAGCGGCGGACGGGUGAGUAACACGUGGAUAACCUACCUAUAAGACUGGGAUAACUUCGGGAAACCGGAGCUAGUACCGGAUAAUAUAUUGAACCGCAUGGUUCAAUAGUGAAAGACGGUUUUGCUGUCACUUAUAUAUGGAUCCGCGCCGCAUUAGCUAGUUGGUAAGGUAACGGCUUACCAAGGCAACGAUGCGUAGCCGACCUGAGAGGGUGAUCGGCCACACUGGAACUGAGACACGGUCCAGACUCCUACGGGAGGCAGCAGUAGGGAAUCUUCCGCAAUGGGCGAAAGCCUGACGGAGCAACGCCGCGUGAGUGAUGAAGGUCUUCGGAUCGUAAAACUCUGUUAUUAGGGAAGAACAAAUGUGUAAGUAACUAUGCACGUCUUGACGGUACCUAAUCAGAAAGCCACGGCUAACUACGUG
rnacentral:rRNA from 1 species